CUGGAAGCCUAAAAUUAAAUAUAAAAUUGAAGACACCUUUGACAAUCAACAGAAAAAAGCCAUCAGAGGUGCGUUAAAGGAUGUUGAAACAAGGGUACAACAGGAUACCGACUCGUGUGCAUUUUCUUUAACGGAAGAAGAACAUAUUACGGACGACCAGCAUAUCCUCUUCAAGAAAGGAUCAGGAUAUUUCACCGCCGUUGGGAAACAAGCAACGCAAAAGAAGCCUCAUAACAUAACAGUCAGUACCGUACGAAACAUUAACGCUGGAUCUGUUAAGCACGAACUUAUGCACGCCUUGGGAUUUUGGCAUGAGCAUGCGAGACCGGACAGGGAUCGCUACAUCACCAUCAAUUAUAAAAAUAUACUGCCAAAACAGGAAACAAAUUUCAUUAAACUGUCAGAUAAUCAAGUAAAACCGACCUACACAAAAAUCGGUUAUGAUCCCUGUUCCAUUCUCCACUACGGUCCAAAGGCAUUCAGCUUCUCAAAGGAUAAAGAUACAAUAGUGUUAAACAGCAAAUACUACAAGACAUGCAUGGGACAGAGGGUCAAGUUGACGGACAGCGAUGUAGAACGAAUACAGAACAUGUUCGACUGCUCUAAAAACAGGAGAUAAGAAAAUAAAAGGAAGAAGAAGGGAAACGCAGCACCUUCAAACACAAGACCGAAAUCGAGGCUAUUAAACGACAAACAUUGGGUGCGAGUGUUACAACAUGUUUAUAUCAAUCCUGGUAGCAUAGUACCUCACUGCAAUCCUGGUAGAACAGACUUCACUGCUAUCCUGGCAGCAUAUAACUUCCCUGUGAUCUGGACAACAUAGGACUUAACGGCGAUCCUGAUAAAAUAGGACUUCCCUGUGAUCCUGAUAGCAUAGGACUUCCCUGUGAUCCUGACAGCAUAGGACUUCCCUGCAAUCCUGAAAACAUAGGACUUUCCUGCAAUCCUAACAGAAUAACUUCACUAUUAUCCUGAUAUCAUAGGACUUCACUGCUAUCCUGAUAUCAUAGGACUUCACUGCGGAUAAAAAGACAUCUUUGUGUGACAGUAAUCAUACUGGUUAUGGUGAAUUACAUUUCAAAAAGAAAUAUUGUUUUUAUAUUAGUAUUUUUAAUUUUGGAUAUCUAAUUUACAUUUCUGUAAAACAGACAUUUUUUCUAUCUUGUUGUCUUCCAUUUGUUUCUCAAACCGAACUCCCUUCUUUGAUUGCCGUGAAGUACGAUUUGAUUGUAACAUUAUCUUAAGCGAUGAAAAUGUUACUUUUUGUUUUAUUUACUAUCCGCCUGUAAAUAGAUGCUUUAAUACAGUAUUAUUUUUGUUUAUACUUCCUUAAAUAUCACAACUCAAAUCUGCCUAAUAUAUAUUGUCUUCUAAAUGUGUUUAUGUUAUUCAUAGUCGGAGAAUUAGUGUACAACUUCUUCAAUUUCUGAAGACGAUACACUAUGAACGUUAUCUCUCUGACUCCAAAUGUAGACGUUUUUUUAUUUGUUUAUGUUUUCGCAUUUUUAUACAUACGAUUAAGUUCCUGCCUACACAGGGCUUAUAUCGAAUACCUGCUUGAUAGUUAAUGCCACACUUUUACCAGGAAUAUUAAAUUAACGUGUAGCAAUGUAUCAUUAUUAUUGUCAAUUUCAAAGUUAAACCUGAUAUGAAAACGAACAGUUAUCAUAUAUAAAGAACCAUAAAGCACUGGUAUGUCUUUAUAAAUCAUAACGCCUUUUCGAAUGUUCUCCGGGUUUCUGAUUGAUAUGAAUAUGUAUAUCUUACUUUCACAAAAGGUAUAGUACGUUUUCUAAUAAGUUCCCUCAUAUUGCACAAUAAGCUGUUUAACUUGUCUAUGUUACGCGGUACGUUUUGAAUUUCUUUUAAUUCCUUAUUGUUAGUAUAAAUUUACUUUUCAUUCAAAAAUGGUCUUCCUGUUCUUAAAAUGUAUUCUUUUUAUUUUUAUUUAUUUUCUUUUUCUUUUUUUAUCUUUUAAUGACGGAUAUGCUUAUAUAAUAUUGUAUAUAAUGACAUAAAAUAUGACGUUUAUGCCAGUGAAUUAUACCGAACAUAUAUAUUGGUUCCAAUAAUAAUAAUAUACAACAUUUGAUAAAAAAAAUAAAAAAACAAGUGAUUUUUUUGAAUAUAAAUCUUAAUUGAUUUUGAUAUAUAAAAGAAGCUCUUUGAUAAAAAGGAUGUUCAAAAGUGAUAGAAGUAAUAAUUUGCGCUUUAUUCUUAUUAACACUGUUAUUUAGCACAGGCAGUGUUGUGGACACUACACAUCCCUGUUUAGCAUGACGAAGUGUAGUGGACACUACACAUCCCUGUUUAGCAUGACGAAGCAAAGCAGUGUUGGGAUGUUGGUCCUAUGCAUGUAUGUACAGAUUAUGGAGCAGUACAGCACUUCAAACGGAUAGUAGCUAAAUCAUGUGUACUACUAUACGAUUGUGAAUCGUGUUGUUGUAUAAAUCUAUAAACCAUUUUUUUUGUGUGUAUUUUACUCUCGUCAUAUCUACUGCUACUCUCACUGUUGAUUUACUUUUGUCUCAAUUUCGUUUACCAUUAAACGCUUAAACUAUCA